GUAAUUUGUAAAUAUUAAUUACAAUAAGGAUUAAUAUGAACUGGGUUUGUACGUAACUUCAGCUUUAGGACCCAGGAGGUCGCAUAUCUAGGAUGUAUUCGUCGAUUCGCAUGCUGCGAUUGGUGGUCCAGAUGCAACUCAUUUUGAGUGACAGAAAAACUGACCAAUCAUACUGUUCCUCUGAAUGGGUGGGUUCUCUUAUCACUAACUCUCAUAGAUAUGUAUUAUGUAUGUAUCUAUUAUGACAAAUUCUGCUCGCUCGCUCGCUUGGUUCGUGUUAUAAAAAUAAAUGUGACUUUACUGCGGUCUUUUUCGGUUUAUUUAGUUUUGUGUUAACUAUAUCCACAAAGUAUUCGAAUAAAUUGGUAAUGUAAAACUAUUCUUCGCUGUAAAUUAAUUGUGUGCUCAAUUGCGACGCCCUGUGUUGAAUUUUCCCGCGAGUACAGUAUCAUUACUGAGGGGAAAUAUAACAUUAUUCAUUUAAUUCCACAAAAGGCCUGAGGCAACGUGAAACAUUGCUGAGGGAGAACUUUAUUCACAACAAAAGGAUAAAGAUGAAGAGGCGGGACUUGAGCAGCUUGUGAUGGCUGUAAUUGUAAAGAAUGGAUCUUCUAGGAGUGGAAGCCCAAAGGAUGCUGGGAUUGUUAUUGAGGCCUUAAAGGUGUUCACAGGGCAUGCUUUAUCCUUGGAUCUAUGCAUUGAAUCUCCAGUAUCCCAGGCAUCUUUUCAGGUGUUUCAGAAACUUUUCUUGGAGCUGGAUUCUUCAAAGUUUAUGAACUGAUUACAGUACAGUAAGUCUAAACUGCUGUCUGAUUUUCUGGGUGUGAAUCAAUGUAACAGAACACAAACAUGGAACCUUUCAUCGGGAAAUGUGGACGGUUUUCUUUAAAGACUGUAAAAUACUUUUUGAAGUUUACACUGUUACAAAUACAUCAUUAAAAUGACCCACUGAGCAAAGCGUCUUAAAAAGACGUCAUUUCGACGUCCCAUGAGGAGCCAGAAUGAACGUUUUUAUGACGUCUUUUUUUGACCUGUUCUGAACAUCCAAUAUUGAUGUCAAGGGGACCUCCACACAAAGUAAAACUAUUUAAAAUGUGGCCAUUUUAGACAUUAUAUUUGUUUAUAUAAUCUUUAUAUAUGAAUAAAUGUAAAAAAAAAUAUUGCUUAUAGAUAAUUCCCAAAUAUACAAGUUCCACCUUAACUAUCUGCGUCUGCAAUCUUGCUCUCUCUCUCUCUCUCUCUCUCUCUC